rnacentral:piRNA from 1 species
UUUUCAGAUUCAGCCUCCACGAUCACU